ACGCACAAUCACCCUCUCACUCAUUCGCUCUCACUCUCUCUCUCGCUCUAUACUACUAUACUACUAGCACUCUCUUGCUCUCUCGGUCACAUGCACACACACAUUUUUAUCCGCCACUUUCUUUUUCACACACACACACACACACACACACACACACACACACACACACACACACACACACACACACACACACACACACACACUCCAUCCAUUUGCCUAGGCCAUGACUGUCGGUCCAUUAGUCUUCUAGCAGCAGCCUCCUGAUGUCUGAACAAGCACUCUGGGGUCUCGGUCUUUUCUAUCCUGAUUUCAACCCAAAAGUCCCUCUGCUUACUGGUUUAAUGUUCCUCUGCUCACUGGUUUAAUGGACAUACCGGUUUAAAGUCCCUCUGCUCACUGGUUUAAUGGACAUACCGGUUUAAUGGACAUACCGGUUUAAAGUCCCUCUGCUUACUGGUUUAAUGGACAUACCGGUUUAAAUGUUUAAAAUGUUGCUGUUAUGGUUGCGCUCAGGGAGCAUGUUUUAAUAAAACCUGUAGUUCUUACCUUUAAAAUGCUUUUUAUUUCAUGUUUCUAGGUGCUCCAGAGGCUUAGAUAUUAAGGUUUAUGUAGACGUUGACAAUUCUUACUAUUUUCUCAGAAAAACCUCAGGAAAUGAGGUUCUUUUUCCUAGAAUAGCAUAGGAUUUUAGCAGGCGUUUUUAGCAGGCGUUUUAGGCAUAAAUGGGUUAAAGGACAGUUAAAGGAGUUUCCUGUUUUCCCGUCAAGUAGAAGAAUGAUGACCAGAUAACCGACUUUCCCAUCACACGUAAUUUGGGGAGCAGUCCUAUUGUCAGCAUGUCUGAGACCACAGCCAUGCAUAAAAAGUUCCUAAAUUUGCCAAUGCAUGGGACUUCAGCUUGCGGCUCUUUGGAGACACACAAGUUGAUUUCCUGUCUAUAGGCCUUGGAUGAUUGUUUGUAAGACCUCAGAUAUUUGAAUGUUUGUUGUAUAUUCUUUUAUUACCCAAAUAUAUGACCAUAUUUGUUAUAAGUUCGGAUGACUCUUUAUUUUACCCCGUUUGGUCAGUUUAUGAUUGACGUGGUUCCGGAAUUCCCACCACAGUAUAAUAUGUCACCUGUAAAUUGAUUUUUAGCAACACUGAAAUAUGAGUCUCCUGCUUUUGGUCGAUUAGCAUCACCUGUGUUAGAGAUUAUCUAAACCUCUGUCAUUGUUAUUUCAUUUACCCAGUUCCUGUCCUUUGUUGUCAGUUAUUUAUUGUUCGAGCUUUUACCCAUUUUAAAAUAGUUUAAAAUAAUAAUUGUAAAAAAAACAUUAGCUGUCGAACUAAUUACUAUGUGUGGGGAAACACUGCAUUCGCUUGGUGGCUGCAUGAGCCACUUGUCAAAGCAGCACAUAGAGUAAGAUAGAUCGAUAUUGAAAUAUUAUAUCACUAAACAAGGUCUCUACUGGAAUACGGAGGUUAGGGGGUUAAGGGCAUACGACAGAAUUGACUUGAGACCAAUUGUAACAGGCUUUACGAUGGACAUUUGAACAUUGGUUGUGAACAAAUACUACAGAACUCAACAAAAUGGAUAAGGUUCUUAGAUAUUUUAAUUUGAAAAUCAUACAAUCAUACCUUUUUAAAGAAUACCCUUAAGAACAAAACUCCAAAUGAUUACAUAAAUUAACGGCUGCUUAACCAUACUUCCUCUUUGGGUUUCCAAGAUUACACAUGUUCAAACUGUUAAUCCGCAAGAAGGUGAAAUAACUGUUAAAAUAAUGUCUUCUUGUAGAAAUACAACUUAACUGUUUGUUUAAUCCACCUUCAUCCACUCUUGUUGUGACUUUGGUUUUGUUGUGACAUUGGCUUGUGAUAUGAAAAUAAAUUAAAUUAAAUGAAUAGGAUUAAUAACAAGAAUGAGGACUCAUUUUAUGAAGUAGGCUAUUCAUAAAUGUUAGUUCAUAGUAACUUACUAAUACCAUUCCAAAUUAAAUAUUUGUAAAGACAUAUUUGUAAUAAAUGAUCAGGCCAAUGAAGGAAUUUUUAUAGGGCCAUAAAAAAUCGAAUCACGUUUUUUAUUUUUUUAUGAAGAACAACAAUAUCUUCAUGGAUCAGUAAGUGUAACAUAAAUGGUAAAUUAAUAACUUUUAAAGUAAUGGAAAUAGAGAAUCAAUCAACACAAAGAAACAGAAAAAGCACAACCCGAAGUGUACAAAUAUAGCAGAAGACACAAAAAAACAUUAACCAUUAUGUGGUUUAGUUGCAUGCAUUACAACUCUGCCCUACAAAGGCAAAGUGCAGUAACUACGUAUUUUGUCAAAAUUGAGUUCAGACUAAAAAUGGGUUUAUAACACCUUCUUUGUCUUGAGACAAAAAAUAUUUUUCUUCCUAUAAAGGUAUUCAUUGAGAGUAUCACCACUAUUGUACCUGAAACAGGUUUGGCCGGCCAGUAUGAAUACUUUGAAGGCAUUUUUCUCAGUGAUUGCAAGAUAUCAUGUGGUCACACACCUUCACUCAUGACAUCCUGCGUCUAGUUGAGCAUUAACCCUAUUUAAGGGAAGUGAGGCUUGUGUAUAUAUAGACACCAGCAGCAUUUGGAGAUGCAAAACCACACCGACGACAUCAACAGCUCAUUAACGUCAGAUUGGGAAGAAAUCAUUCUCACUGGAAAUGACCGACCCGGGCUUCGGCAGUCAGUCCCCCAUUAUCAGCGACGAUGUCGAGAAUCAGGAUGGAGAGAAGCGCAGCAGAAGGGAACCAUUCACCAAGAAGCAAUGUUGUAGAAAAACCCAUAUUGCGACACUUCUCUUUGUUCUGUACGGUGGCAUGCUGGUGGCGCUGUUGGUGAAGGCCUACUACCCUGUGCCAUCAUCACCAAACUGCUCCCUACUCCUGGCACCCAUCCCUUCUGACGACAUCCUUAAACGGAUCUUCACUGGGAGGUGGAUCAUGCAGGAGGCGUACUCUAGUGACUCCCUUGAUCAGUAUGCCCUGACACACGCUAAGAGCUCCUGGGCAGAGUUCACCAGGAUGCCCGACGGCACCAUUAACCUGGACAUGGCCCACAUGCUGAGUGUCCCGCCAAACAGGACAAUGUGGUGUGUCCACCACCACUUCACGGGCAUUGAGCAACACAACAACACACUUCAACUCAAUCUGCCCGAGUUCAAAUCGUCAGCGACGUUCCAGUUCAUCAAGGCCUGCAAUGAAUGUCUGGCCAUGACGGCUAAAGCAUAUGUGCCUGGAUAUAGCCCUCUGGACUACCUGCUUGUCUAUGGUCUAUAUCCAGACUUACACGAGUAUUACAUCCGACCAACCAGACUGCAGGCCUCCUGCAAGCGCCUGGUGACCCCGCCUCCUUUCAAGUAUUAUGGAGCAGAACUCUGCCCGAAUGACGUGAAUGAGACAGAUUCUGCUGAGGCGAGAGGCAUGGAUUUUAAACACUUCUUUGUUCCACGGUGAUCAUAGUCUACAGGAAGAAAUCAAAUGGCUCUAUCAAAAACAAAUAAUCUCUCAUUGGAAAUAUUCCAUGUUUUUUUGUCUUUAAAGUGACACUAUUGUAUGCACAUAAAACACCUGCAUUUCAGCUUGACAAAACCUUGCUUCAUCUUUUAAUCCAUGGCAAUAUAUUGAUUUUCUAAAUACUUGUUACAUCCUUGAAUUUAAAUAAUAUUUUCUAUUGUGUUACUGAAACUAUAAAGGCAUUGAGUUGAUAUCUCUUUCACAUUGUUUUCAAAAGUUGUUUGUGUGUUACUUGCUGCGAGUACCAUAUCUUGCUAUAUUAUGAUUGUUUGCUGUGCUUUGCAAUCUAAUAAAUUGUUUGUCUAUGAUGUCAUUAUGUCAGUGUAUUUUCUUAUUUUAUCAAGGAAGCUUGAGUGCAUGAUUCACAGAAUUAGGUUGUGCCCACAGCAAAGUUUAUCAUUUAAGUUCCAUUUUAGUUUCCAAAUGUCUGCAGUUAAAACAAGUGUUUGGCUGUAGCUAAUUUUGAAAUCAGCUAUCAUACUGAUAGAAAACAGUUCCGCCAACAUGUGCACAACUGUGUAACAACUUGUAAAGUCUUAUGAUAAAGAUUCAAAAUCAGUUUCCAAAGAUUCUGGUAUGCAAGUGUGUGAGGAUGAUGGUUUGUUUAAGCUGCCUUUAAGAGUAUCAUAUACGAUUGUGUGAAAAUGGCAAGUGAUAAACUGAGACAUAAUUGAGGUAGUGCAUCAAAUUGUUUGUAUCGUAUGAAGACUGAUUUGAUGGCUUGCUCUACUCUAAUUCUUCUACACUUUCUAUUCCUACGUGACAAGAUACCCAUCUUGUCACGUAGAAGUAGUCAAAAUAAACCACUUGCAUGUAAAUCAUUGAAUUCACAUAUGAAGCAGAACGAAGAAAGCUUUGAGUGACUGCUCCUGAAAACUGCUUCAGGCAGGAGUUUUCUGAGUUCAGUGUGUGCGCUCAAGCAGAGCGAUGGCGGCCAACGUUGGUCUUGUGAAAUGCUUAGCUAGCCACAUUAAAGAUCUGCUCCAGUGAUUUUACUACAGGUACAGAUAUGAAUUAAAAAGGUGGCUCAGAAUUGUGAGCAACAGAUAGAAUAUACAUUUCAGGAGUAAUUUUCACGCUGGUACAAUUGUUUAAAACACAAAUUUGGUAUUCUGAUAGGAGUGUUCUGUGGGGCGAUUGUCAUUCAAUUCAAAAUGGAGAUCAUUUUGAAGUGGUCACAAAUACGAACAAGCUCUUUACAGCAUGUCUGCCAAGGUCUGCAACACAACUGGGUCCACUGCUGCUGGGCACAUCAGAUCAUGAUCAUGUCCAUAAAAAGCUUUUUGGUGAUUAGGUAAGGGGCUCAGAUUCAUGUCUGUAUGAAUAUGUUAAUGCUGGUUUCUGGGUCUAAUUUAGAGAGCUGUUACAUCAUAGAAUGAUCCAAGCAUGUGUCCUGUUGUUGGGACUAUUCAUGCGGACAGUAUAAUACCCUGAAGAGGACUGAUUCUCUUUCAGUAUGGCCGGUUAAUCACCGUUUCUGUUAUCUGUUCUGAGUGAGAUUCUGCCUGCUCUGCAUACAUAGGGUGCAAUAUAUGUGCCUAUAUGAUGAAAUAGGACACGAUAAAACAAAUACUUUUAGUUUACACUUUUUUAGUUUUGUUAAAAUGAAUGUGGGACAGUUUGGAUUGAAUCAUUGAGGCAGUUUCAGGAUAAUUUGAAUUGUGAGUAUUUUGCUAUUUGGUUUGGAUUUAUUUUGCAGUGGUUUUGAGGUGUUUUGGGGGUAUAACGUUUGUUGUGCUCUUUAUUGUUACUUACCUUUAUUCUUUAUUUGUUACUUUUUAUUGUUACUUACCUCAGAUCAAUUCCUGGUUUAACUAUCUAUCUCAAAUAAUUAUCUUCACUCCAUAUUGUUUGUAAAAUGGAAAUAAACAGACAGUCCUGGUUGAACAGAUGAGGCAUGUUCCAGUCUGGGGACUCUUGUCUUGGUAGCAGAUGUUUCUGAAUGCCUGUUCCUUCAGCUCGUCCCCUGGGAUUUCUUCUUAAUACUUCCUAGAAUAUUACACAGAGACCCAGUUUGCUUUCUUCCUCCUUCCACUUCAUUCACUCGGAUAUGAAUGACAUCCGCGAGAGUCGACGUAGUGUCGUGUGGAUUGGGAAUUCUUUAUUUAGGACACUGCAUACAAACUGCUUAUUAGAUGUUUGAUUGAGUUUCCAAGAAUACGAGUGGAAACGAGUUAAAUAGGAUGUUUCUGUAUUUUUCAGGUCAGAUUUUCUUCUCGUGUGUGUGUGAGUGUGCGUGCGUGUGUAUGUAUGCACCCGUGCGUAGGUGAGUGUGUGUGUGUGAGGUUGUGUGUGUGGGUGGGUGUGCAAACUGAUAUCCAAUGAGGUUCAAGGCACUGACACAACAUAGAAAUGAGUGUUACAUCUGAAGAAUGUGAUUUCGCCAAAUGUUGUCAUCCCCACUCAAGUGUUCCAUAAUCCAUCCAUAAUCCCCAACUCAGCACUGUUGAGGUACGGUUUAUAGUGCAUUUUAGAAAACAACAUAUAUACACACAAAUACAUGGACACACAAAAAACAACGUGUGUGGGGGGCCGUAAAGUCCAAACUUCAAUAAACUGCAUACAGAAAAUCACACACAAUGACAGAAUGUAUUAGUCCGUUUCGAUCUUUUGCGAUAUCGGCCAAAAUAUUAUUAAAUCUUACAAAUAUGUUUGAGUUCUCAUUGUAUUGUAGUUGUGACCCUUUUACCCUUUUUACAGACCUUUUUAAAAAGGACUCCCACAUCCUCUUAUAUCGGAUUUCCCUGAUGCACUUCAUCUUUUGGGUUAAGGGUUAAUAAAAAAAGCACACUCAAAUUCCAGGCCAAGUGUGUGUGAUUAUUCAAUCUCAAGUUGAUAUGGUGUGCAUCGGAUGCUUUGUUUCAGGCCGUUAUCACCUCCCAGGUUUGCCCAGGAAUGAGGUCAGGGAUGCAGUACAUUACAAAAUUGCUUUUAUAAAAGAACAUCUUUGGUCUGAAUGGAAAAAUGGGGGGAAAAUGUUUAAUUCAAAUGGAAGAUGUCUUUGGCUUGCCUUAUCCAGUUCAUUAUAUAUAUCAUACCAUAUUUGACCGACAAGCUAACCUGGUCCCUCAACACCACCUCCCUGGCGAAGAAGGCACAGCAACACCUGCACUUCCUGCGCCGGAUGAGGAAAGUCUCCCUCCCCCCUCCCAUCCUGAUCACCUUCUACUGAGGCGCCGUCGAGAGUCUGCUGACCAACUGCAUCUCCGUCUGGUGUGGGGCCUGCGAGGCCUCGGACUGGAAGUCUCUGCAGAGAGUGGUGAGAACAGCAGAGACAAUCACCGUGUACCCGCUCCCCUCCAUCGGGGACGUUGGGCAGAAGCGCUGCCUGACUAGAGCCCAUCUCCUCUGACUCCUCCCACCCUCACCACGGACUGCUUCCCAUGCUGAACUCUGGCGGGGGGUUCCGCAGCAUCCACAUUAGGACACCGAGGUUCAGUGACAGUUUCUUCCCCCUGGCCAUUAGACUGUUGGCCAACACCCACGGCCAAUAAAUAAACCAUCUACAAUGGUACAUCUGCAACCCGCGUACAAAGAUAGCAUUUUAACCUUUUUUACUUCAUGCCAUCUUUUUAUAUUCUUUUAUAUUCCACUUCACCAUGUGCCAAGGUAACGAAAUUUCGUUUAAUAUGUGCACUGGUGCGCUUAUUGAAUGACAAUAAAACAAUUCUAUGUCUAAGUCUAUAUUUGUAGAAAUAGCAUUAUAUUUCUUUAGAUUACUCACUAAUAUGCCAUUAUGGUGUCUCUAUUUCUGCUGCUAAUAAAAUACUGUACAUACAAUAUAUUAUUACGCAAGCAAAAAUAUAUGACCAAAUAGAUAUUUGCAUUUAAGUUAUGUUGAUUGUUUCACUGUACAUGGUCACUGUUGAUUUGAUUAUCUAUCUUUUUGGAAGAAAAAUUACAAAGAAACACGGACAGUAUCAUUAAAUCAAUUAUAAAUAUGACUAUGACCUGAUUUUUUGUUUUUGUUUUGGUACUGUAGCAAAGUCUUUGUAGAGGUGCUUUGUUACAUUGAGGUACUGCCUCGUCUGUGAGAUGCGGUUUGUUCCAGAGCUAACCAUAUACUAGACCGGACAAACAGACUUCAAGACUGAUCUCAGUGUGAGGGUGUUUUAUGUCUGGAGCGACCUUGCCGUCUGUCUCGCUCGUUGUCACAGAGAUAUGCAAUCACACUCAACUUUUGACCCUGUUCGUUCACGCUCAUUUGUCUCAGAGACGACCUUAACCUUUUUUUCCUCCAUAUGUAUGUAGCACGAUGACUUUCCUAUAUGUCCAAGACAUAGAUACACGAGACAAGAUAUGGGUGAUGAAUGCAAAUAAUUUUCUUCAUAUGCUUGCAUGUCUUGAUUUCUUAUUCUUUAUCAUUAUGGCAGAUAAAAAAGCAAUGAAAUACUAAAAGAUUCUUGAUCAAUAUAUUGAUAACCAUGAUGAAAAACUCAAUAUACUUUUUAUAUCUUCCCUUCAUUAUUUGAUCCAUAUGUCAAUUCCCUUUUACAUUGUCGCUAACCAUAUCCCUUUCCAUUUAUUUUUCAUGUCCCUUCAAGUUCAAUCAGUACAUCUUUUUCUUUCUGUACCAUUUUGUCUUCUUCAGUCCUCCUGCUCUCACUUACAGGUAUAGGCAAUGUCACAGAAAAUCACAUAGUUGCAUAACAAGACCAGUAC
ensembl:lncRNA